rnacentral:rRNA from 1 species
GCAGCAUGAUCUAGCUUGCUAGAUUGAUGGCGAGUGGCGAACGGGUGAGUAAUACAUCGGAACGUGCCCUGUAGUGGGGGAUAACUAGUCGAAAGAUUAGCUAAUACCGCAUACGACCUGAGGGUGAAAGUGGGGGACCGCAAGGCCUCAUGCUAUAGGAGCGGCCGAUGUCUGAUUAGCUAGUUGGUGAGGUAAAGGCUCACCAAGGCGACGAUCAGUAGCUGGUCUGAGAGGACGAUCAGCCACACUGGGACUGAGACACGGCCCAGACUCCUACGGGAGGCAGCAGUGGGGAAUUUUGGACAAUGGGCGAAAGCCUGAUCCAGCAAUGCCGCGUGUGUGAAGAAGGCCUUCGGGUUGUAAAGCACUUUUGUCCGGAAAGAAAUGGCUCUGGUUAAUACCUGGGGUCGAUGACGGUACCGGAAGAGUAAGGACCGGCUAACUACGUGCCAGCAGCCGCGGUAAUACGUAGGGUCCAAGCGUUAAUCGGAAUUACUGGGCGUAAAGCGUGCGCAGGCGGUUGUGCAAGACCGAUGUGAAAUCCCCGAGCUUAACUUGGGAAUUGCAUUGGUGACUGCACGGCUAGAGUGUGUCAGAGGGGGGUAGAAUUCCACGUGUAGCAGUGAAAUGCGUAGAGAUGUGGAGGAAUACCGAUGGCGA